UGGUUAGUGGCGAAAGGGUUAGUAAUGGACAGGUAACGUGCCCUGUGCUCUGGGAUAGCGUCGUUCGCCUUCGGGCGAGCUACCGAAAGGGGCGGUAAUACCGGAUAAUAUCAUUUGUUGAUAGACGGAUGUUCAAAGAUUUAUCGGCACAGGAGCGGCCUAUCUCCUAUCAGCUUGUUGGUGAGGUAACGGCUCACCAAGGCAAUGACGGGUAGCGGGACUGAGAGGUUGGCCCGCAACAUCGGGACUGAGACACUGCCCGGACCUCCACGGAGGGCUGCAGUAACGAAUCUUGCGCAAUGGGCAAAAGCCUGACGCAGCGACGCCGCGUGUAGGAGGAAGUCCCUCGGGAUGUAAACUACUGUCAGGGGUAAGAAAGUCCGCCUCGGCGGAUUGAUCCAACCCAAAGGAAGUCACGGCUAACUUCGUGCCAGCAGCCGCGGUAAGACGAAGGUGGCAAGCGUUGUCCGGUAUCACUGGGCUUAAAGCGUGUGUAGGCGGAAAGGUAAGCGUCCUGUGAAAGCCCCCGGCUUAACCGGGGAAUUGCUCGGCGAACUGCCUUUCUUGAGGCAAGUAGGGGUGCAUGGAACUCUUGGUGGAGCGGUGGAAUGCGUAGAUAUCAAGAGGAACGCCGGCGGUGAAAACGGUGCACUGGGCUUGUUCUGACGCUGAGACACGAAAGCGUGGGUAGCGAACGGGAUUAGAUACCCCGGUAGUCCACGCCGUAAACGAUG
rnacentral:rRNA from 1 species